UACAGGAGACGCGUUUCUGCUGGUGGUGAAGAAACUGAGGCCUGGCAGGUGAAAUGGCUUGACCAAUGCCAGAGAUAAAGGCCUCAUUGUGAGCUGAGCCGCAUCAAGACCAGGAAGAACAAGCCUGCCAGAGCUCAGCCCGCCUCACGGCUCCGCUCCCUACGCUGAACAGCUGCCAUUUGAAUGUCUUUCUUUAUAAAUUCCUUUCAUUUUCCC